UUUUCCCACGGGCGUCAUCUAUAGUCCGGAGGACAGCCCCAGGGCAGAGGCCUCUGGUGAGUGCCCCGCCGCCUUACCAGACUACAAACUAAACCAGUGUUUAAGUCAAGGUGUCUGGGUUUUCACCGGGGCCUGUCCAAGGAUGCUAGGAAGCCAGUGGCCAGGCCUCAGAGUUGUAGGGAGUUAGGCUUGGACCUACGUGGUUACCUCCAAGUGAAGUUUCAAACACACUGUUAUGUAUUGUACCGAAUGUAUUGUCAUGGAUGUAUUGAAAGCGCUCAUUUGUUUCAUGUACAUCUUUACUAUACCAUUAGUUUCUGUAACCUUGUUUGGCUUUUUUCUCUCUCAUUAAAAAAAGUGAGAACCUGGAAGGAAGGGCCUAGGCCUCUGACCCUCCAAAAUAUAUAAAUUCUUCCUGCCUGAGACCCAGUCAUUGUGAAGUAUUUGCGUAAUAAAGCACAGCUAAUUUACUUCUAUAAAUGAGCUUGGAGGCCGCAAGGGGCCUAAAUAGCUGUGUAACAGGCAGAUGUGAUCUGCCUGUUAAAGAUCCAUUCAAUGAGUGGGUGAUCCAUUCAGUGAAUUUGUAUCCCAGGUUUGCUUCCCACUCUCCAAGAAAGUGACCAUGUUAGAUCUCUUUCUUACAGUGUAGUAGAUGGGAACUUGGGCUCUGGGGCCUGACAGCUUGGUUCCCUGUCCACAAUUAGUAGCUGGAUGACUUUGGCAAAUGACUUAACUGCUCAUUUUCCUUAUCUGUAUAAGACUAAUAAUUGUACCUACCUUGUAGGUAGGGCAUAAAUGUGAUUGUGCAUUCGAAGAACAUUUAGAAAAGUGCCUGGCACAAAUUAAUGCUCCAUUAAUGUUGUCUAUUUUUAUUUUUAGUUCAUCUAGUUUUUCCAUGUCCGAAGACUCAAAGAUUCUCAUUAGUCAUCCAUUUUUUCCCUCCGUUCUGCUGAAUAUCAACCUGAACUUUUUUUUUGCAUCACUGGGCAUUAUCAUUUCACACUUUGAGUUCCUGGAGCUGGAAGUACAGAAUCCAAAAAUAUGUUUAUAUUUUCAAAUUUCUCUUCCACUCCAAUGUAAAAAUAAACUGACAAAUGUUUAUAUGUUCAUCCU
rnacentral:lncRNA from 10 species